UACGUAGGUGGCAAGCGUUGUCCGGAUUUACUGGGCGUAAAGAGCGCGCAGGCGGCCAAGUCAGUCGAAUGUGAAAGCCCCCGGCUUAACUGGGGAGGGUCAUUCGAUACUGCUCGGCUCGAAGACAGGAGAGGGAAGCGGAAUUCCCGGUGUAGAGGUGAAAUUCGUAGAUAUUCGGAGGAACACCAGUGGCGAAGGCGGCUUACUGGUCCAUUACUGACGCUGAGGUGCGAAAGCGUGGGGAGCAAACAGG
rnacentral:rRNA from 1 species